rnacentral:rRNA from 1 species
CUAGAGAUAGAAAGUUACUUCGGUACAUCGGUGACAGGUGGUGCAUGGUUGUCGUCAGCUCGUGUCGUGAGAUGUUGGGUUAAGUCCCGCAACGAGCGCAACCCCUAUUGUUAGUUGCCAUCAUUCAGUUGGGCACUCUAGCGAGACUGCCGGUAAUAAACCGGAGGAAGUGGGAUGACGUCAAAUCAUCAUGCCCCUUAUGACCUGGGCUACACACGUGCUACAAUGGUUGGUACAACGAGUUGCGAGUCGGUGACGGCGAGCUAAUCUCUUAAAGCCAAUCUCAGUUCGGAUUGUAGGCUGCAACUCGCCUACAUGAAGUCGGAAUCGCUAGUAAUCGCGGAUCAGCACGCCGCGGUGAAUACGUUCCCGGGUCUU